rnacentral:rRNA from 1 species
UGAACGCUGGCGGCAGGCCUAACACAUGCAAGUCGAACGGUAACAGGAAGAAGCUUGCUUCUUUGCUGACGAGUGGCGGACGGGUGAGUAAUGUCUGGGAAACUGCCUGAUGGAGGGGGAUAACUACUGGAAACGGUAGCUAAUACCGCAUAACGUCGCAAGACCAAAGAGGGGGACCUUAGGGCCUCUUGCCAUCGGAUGUGCCCAGAUGGGAUUAGCUAGUAGGUGGGGUAAAGGCUCACCUAGGCGACGAUCCCUAGCUGGUCUGAGAGGAUGACCAGCCACACUGGAACUGAGACACGGUCCAGACUCCUACGGGAGGCAGCAGUGGGGAAUAUUGCACAAUGGGCGCAAGCCUGAUGCAGCCAUGCCGCGUGUAUGAAGAAGGCCUUCGGGUUGUAAAGUACUUUCAGCGGGGAGGAAGGUGUUGUGGUUAAUAACCACAGCAAUUGACGUUACCCGCAGAAGAAGCACCGGCUAACUCCGUGCCAGCAGCCGCGGUAAUACGGAGGGUGCAAGCGUUAAUCGGAAUUACUGGGCGUAAAGCGCACGCAGGCGGUCUGUCAAGUCGGAUGUGAAAUCCCCGGGCUCAACCUGGGAACUGCAUUCGAAACUGGCAGGCUUGAGUCUCGUAGAGGGGGGUAGAAUUCCACGUGUAGCGGUGAAAUGCGUAGAGAUCUGGAGGAAUACCGGUGGCGAAGGCGGCCCCCUGGACGAAGACUGACGCUCAGGUGCGAAAGCGUGGGGGAGCAAACAGGAUUAGAUACCCUGGUAGUCCACGCCGUAAACGAUGUCUAUUUGGAGGUUGUGCCCUUGAGGUGUGGCUUCCGGAGCUAACGCGUUAAAUAGACCGCCUGGGGAGUACGGCCGCAAGGUUAAAACUCAAAUGAAUUGACGGGGGCCCGCACAAGCGGUGGAGCAUGUGGUUUAAUUCGAUGCAACGCGAAGAACCUUACCUGGUCUUGACAUCCACAGAACUUUCCAGAGAUGGAGGGGUGCCUUCGGGAACUGUGAGACAGGUGCUGCAUGGCUGUCGUCAGCUCGUGUUGUGAAAUGUUGGGUUAAGUCCCGCAACGAGCGCAACCCUUAUCCUUUGUUGCCAGCGGUUAGGCCGGGAACUCAAAGGAGACUGCCAGUGAUAAACUGGAGGAAGGUGGGGAUGACGUCAAGUCAUCAUGGCCCUUACGACCAGGGCUACACACGUGCUACAAUGGCGCAUACAAAGAGAAGCGAACUCGCGAGAGCAAGCGGACCUCAUAAAGUGCGUCGUAGUCCGGACUGGAGUCUGCAACUCGACUCCAUGAAGUCGGAAUCGCUAGUAAUCGUGGAUCAGAAUGCCACGGUGAAUACGUUCCCGGGCCUUGUACUCACCGCC